UACGUAGGGUGCAAGCGUUGUCCGGAAUUAUUGGGCGUAAAGAGCUCGUAGGCGGUUUGUCGCGUCGAAUGUGAAAACCCGGGGCUCAACUCCGGGCCUGCAUUCGAUACGGGCAGACUAGAGUUCGGUAGGGGAGACUGGAAUUCCUGGUGUAGCGGUGAAAUGCGCAGAUAUCAGGAGGAACACCGGUGGCGAAGGCGGGUCUCUGGGCCGAUACUGACGCUGAGGAGCGAAAGCGUGGGUAGCGAACAGG
rnacentral:rRNA from 1 species